rnacentral:rRNA from 1 species
CAGUCGCCGCGGUAAUACGAGGGGUGCAAGCGUUAUUCGGAUUGAUUGGGUGUAAAGGGUGUGCAGACGGCUUAUUAAGUCACUUGUUAAAUUCUUCGGCCUAACUGAAGGUCUGCAAGUGAUACUGAUUAGCUAGAGGGUGGAAGAGAGAAGUGGAAUUCUCGGAGUAGCGGUAAAAUGCGUAGAUCUCGAGAGGAACACCAAUGGCGAAGGCAGCUUCUUGGUCCAUUCCUGACGUUCAUACACGAAAGCGUGGUGGGCAAACAGAAUUAGAUACCCCAGUAGUCCCUGUCUCUUAUAU